ACCAGACAAAACACCCGGGCACUAAUGGCGAAGUCUACAGAAAACUCAUCCCCUCAAUUAAUUGCGACUGGGUCUAUACACUACAGGUAAGACAAGUGUUUAUCACGGUGACUACAAAGUAGUCCAUUCAAGGUUCGUGUCGACCCGAUACCUGUCUUUGCUCCGCAUACUACCCACCAAAUCCACUUCCUUCCCAAUUUUCUUCACUCACCACAACCAUUGAAACCCUAGACAUGACAUAACUCAAGCUUCCCGAGGUUUCUCUCUCUGCGCAAGCUUCGAUAUUUGCAAUGUGUCACUACCACCUAUCGGAGGAUGAUUUACCUCAAAAUGAACAUUAUGCACGGAGGAAUGGAAAUGGAAUAGAGCAUGUGGAACUAAGGUGGGAAACCCAGAUAGCAUUGUUGGAGGAGCGAAUAUCAAGGAUUGAGGCUCGAGUUGAAAGGCUAGAAACGACAAUGUUAUAUUUGCAGAAAUGGAUGCGAGUACUAUCUUGUUUGCUUUUGCUUACUCUUGUCUAUGCUAUAUGUAAAUGAAUUCCCAUUGAAAAUUUGUUUUAGGUGCAGUGUUUGUAUUGCUUGUAAUGUACUAGAUGUUAGGUAGGUAUGUGACAGCAUUUGUGGAUUGCUGUACUUCAAAAUAAAUUUCAGGGAGUCAACAAAGUUAGCAAUAGGAAAAAGAAAAUUGUUGAUAGAUCUUUACUCUGUUACAGAGGUGAAGUCUCAUGUUUUAUUGAAUUAAUGGGAGAGAAACAACUAAUCAUAAUGCUAGAAUUUAUCGUGUUUUUCCUGUA